rnacentral:rRNA from 1 species
UACGUAGGCAGCGAGCGUUGUUCGGAGUUACUGGGCGUAAAGGGUGUGUAGGCGGUUGUUUAAGUUUGGUGUGAAAUCUUCCGGCUCAACUGGGAGGGUGCGCCGAAUACUGAAUGACUAGAGUGCGGGAGAGGAAAGUGGAAUUCCUGGUGUAGCGGUGAAAUGCGUAGAUAUCAGGAGGAACACCGGUGGUGUAGACGGCUUUCUGGACCGUAACUGACGCUGAGACACGAAAGCGUGGGUAGCAAACAGG